GGAAUCUGCAAGGAAAGCGUGUAUAGUCAGCAAUUGGAGGAGUCACGAUUACUUGCAAUUUCAGAGAAAAGGAGGCGGUGUUAAAGAACGUUUGGGUUUGACUCAUGUAUUAUUUGGUUUUCAACAGUCAAAUAGGGAUUUUCGUUAGGCUAGCCAUGGCUGCACACGGGCUGGGAGGGCCGAUUUGAAAAAUUCAUGCCACCAACUCUCAUAUACCGGGCUCGGUCGGUCGGUAACCGAGUCUGUUUGUUUCACGGGAUUGGCUAAUCCAGGAUUGUAUACAAUCCCAGUGAAAAUAAAAAAUAAAAAAAAUUGCUGGCUUGGGACAAAACUGACCCGAAGCUCUCUCGUUGGAAACCCUCAUUCUAAAUUACGCCCAAUUGCUAGUAAUCUCAGUCACGAUAUCAGCCCUCUCUGAUUUCUUCCCCAUAAGAAUCGAAAAUUGUUGGUGGAAAGCUGAAGCUGAAGGGUAAAGCUCUGGAGGUGAAAGCUGGUGGCGUAAAGAGAAAAUGAAACAUAAAAAGCAUCAAGAAAAAAACUUCUCUAAGUCACAGACAAUGAACUCUCACCUGGCUGCAGAGGCGCUUCCCACCACACAAAACUUAGCUGCUGUAAUCAUUAGCCAAGAGUACUUGUCCAAGAAUCAAUGGAAAUAUAAGGUUGGGUUGGCUGGUUAUGAAAAGCAGCUCCAUGUAGAAGCCCCUGAAUCAGCUAGUUACGUAUGGCACAACAUUUGUCUCCCAGCAAGUAAGAUGUUUGUUUGGUAAGAUGCUUAUGAAGGAAACACAUUAGAGCUAUCCUCCCAAAGAGGAAGAGUUAUAUCUGACCUUGAGUUUGUCAGUUUUGGAUUACCUUAAGGCUCUUGUGGAUCUUUCAAUGUAAAAUGCCAGUCUCCUAAAGCGUAUGCAUAUGUUAUGAAUAAUUGCCUGGGAGAAGUGCCAUGUUCCAUUCCUGUCAAUGAACUUACUCUCAGUCCUACUGGUUGCAAGGAAACCGACAGACUCGCUAUGAAGGCUAUCUGUUAGGAGUGGUUUUUAUUUAGACUUGUUUGGGAGGAUCAUAUAUGUUUUCUUUUUGAGUUUUACUUAAAGUUCUCCUUUGUUAUUUUUAUUUCAAGGCCAGUAUAAGGUAUUCUCUUUGCAAGAGAGACCAUGACACGAAAUCUGUUCUAGUUUUAUUUUAACGUGAGGAUAAGAUAUUCCUCUUGUAUAGAAACCAUGUUAUGAACUGAAGUGUAAAAUUCUUACAAUUGUUUAAGAAAUUCUCUUUCUUGUUUGUGUCAAA